rnacentral:rRNA from 1 species
UGGAGCAAAUACUCGAAAAAACAAUCUCAGUUCAGAUUGCAGGCUGCAACUCGCCUGCAUGAAGUCGGAAUUGCUAGUAAUCGUAGGUCAGCAUACUACGGUGAAUACGUUCCCGGGCCUUGUACACACCGCCCGUCAAAUCAUGAGAGUUGGCAACACCCGAAGUCGGUAGUCUAACCGCAAGGAGGACGCCGCCGAAGGUGGGGUUGAUGAUUAGGGUUAAGUCGUAACAAGGUACC